UCUGUGGAGUGCUAAACCAAACGAAAGUAGCCAAGGCUAAAUCGGGCACGGUGAAGCAAGAA
rnacentral:ncRNA from 1 species